rnacentral:rRNA from 1 species
ACUUAAGCAUAUCAAUAAGCGGAGGAAAAGAAACUAACAAGGAUUCCCCUAGUAACUGCGAGUGAAGAGGGAAGAGCUCAAAUUUAAAAUCUGGCAGUCUUAUGUCUGUCCGAGUUGUAAAUUAGAGAAGCGUUAUCCGCGCUGGCCUGUGCAAAAGUCUCUUGGAAAAGAGCAUCAUAGAGGGUGACAAUCCCGUCUUUGGCACAGACUACCAGGGCUUUUGUGAUGCGUUCUCGAUGAGUCGAGUUGUUUGGGAAUGCAGCUCUAAAUGGGUGGUAAAUUCCAUCUAAAGCUAAAUAUUGGCGAGAAACCGAUAGCGCACAAGUACCGUGAGGGAAAGAUGAAAAGAACUUUGAAAAGAGAGUUAAACAGUACGUGAAAUUGUUGAAAGGGAAACGCUUGAAGUCAGUCGUGUCCUUCAGAAAUCAACCUGACCUCGGUUGGGCGUACUUUCUGUUGGAUGGGUCAGCAUCAAUUUUGACCGUUGGAUAAAGGCCUUGGGAAUGUGGCAUCUCCGGAUGUGUUAUAGACCAUGGUUCGGAUACAAUGGUUGGGAUUGAGGAACUCAGUGUGACUUUUAGUUUGGGGCUUCGGCCUACACUACGCACUUAGGAUGCUGGCAUAAUGGCUUUAAUCGACCCGUCUUGAAACACGGACCAAGGAGUCUAACAUACAUGCGAGUGU